GAGAAAGACUAUUGAACUGCUAAUUCAAUGCCACCGUGAAUAAUAAUCAUGGCUUCCUCA
rnacentral:tRNA from 1 species